rnacentral:rRNA from 1 species
GACGAACGCUGGCGGCGUGCCUAAUACAUGCAAGUCGAGCGAAGUUUUUCUGGUGCUUGCACUAGAAACACUUAGCGGCGAACGGGUGAGUAACACGUAAAGAACCUGCCUCAUAGACUGGGACAACUAUUGGAAACGAUAGCUAAUACCGGAUAACAGCAUUAACUGCAUGGUUGAUGUUUAAAAGUUGGUUUUGCUAACACUAUGAGAUGGCUUUGCGGUGCAUUAGCUAGUUGGUGGGGUAAAGGCCUACCAAGGCGACGAUGCAUAGCCGACCUGAGAGGGUGAUCAGCCACACUGGGACUGAGACACGGCCCAGACUCCUACGGGAGGCAGCAGUAGGGAAUCUUCCGCAAUGGGCGAAAGCCUGACGGAGCAACGCCGCGUGAGUGAAGAAGGAUUUCGGUUCGUAAAGCUCUGUUGUUAGGGAAGAAUGAUUGUGUAGUAACUAUACACAGUAGAGACGGUACCUAACCAGAAAGCCACGGCUAACUACGUG